ensembl:snRNA U6 U6 spliceosomal RNA
GUGCUCACUUUGACAGCACAUAUAUCCUGAAGUUGGAAUGAUACAAGAGGGAUGAGCAUGGCUCCUGAACUAGGUUGACCUGCAAAUUGAAGAAGCAUUCCACACUUAA